rnacentral:rRNA from 1 species
AGUGGGGAAUCUUAGACAAUGGGCGCAAGCCUGAUCUAGCCAUGCCGCGUGAGCGAUGAAGGCCUUAGGGUUGUAAAGCUCUUUCGUGGGGGAAGAUAAUGACGGUACCCCAAGAAGAAGCCCCGGCUAACUCCGUGCCAGCAGCCGCGGUAAUACGGAGGGGGCUAGCGUUGUUCGGAAUUACUGGGCGUAAAGCGCACGUAGGCGGACUGGAAAGUCAGGGGUGAAAUCCCGGGGCUCAACCCCGGAACUGCCUUUGAAACUCCCAGUCUUGAGGUCGAGAGAGGUGAGUGGAAUUCCGAGUGUAGAGGUGAAAUUCGUAGAUAUUCGGAGGAACACCAGUGGCGAAGGCGGCUCACUGGCUCGAUACUGACGCUGAGGUGCGAAAGCGUGGGGAGCAAA